rnacentral:rRNA from 1 species
GACGAACGCUGGCGGCGUGCCUAAUACAUGCAAGUUGAGCGAUGAAGAUUGGUGCUUGCACCAAUUUGAAGAACAGCGAACGGGUGAGUAACGCGUGGGGAAUCUGCCUUUGAGCGGGGGACAACAUUUGGAAACGAAUGCUAAUACCGCAUAACAACUUUAAACAUAAGUUUUAAGUUUGAAAGAUGCAAUUGCAUCACUCAAAGAUGAUCCCGCGUUGUAUUAGCUAGUUGGUGAGGUAAAGGCUCACCAAGGCGAUGAUACAUAGCCGACCUGAGAGGGUGAUCGGCCACAUUGGGACUGAGACACGGCCCAAACUCCUACGGGAGGCAGCAGUAGGGAAUCUUCGGCAAUGGACGAAAGUCUGACCGAGCAGCGCCGCGUGAGUGAAGAAGGUUUUCGGAUCGUAAAACUCUGUUGGUAGAGAAGAACGUUGGUGAGAGUGGAAAGCUCAUCAAGUGACGGUAACUACCCAGAAAGGGACGGCUAACUACGUG